rnacentral:tRNA from 1 species
GGAGAGGUGGCCGAGUGGCUGAAGGCGCUCCCCUGCUAAGGGAGUAUGGGUUUAAAAAGCCCAUCGAGGGUUCGAAUCCCUCUCUCUCCGCCA